GUGCGCUGCCGCUCCUGCCCUGGAUCAGGCUCCUCCACGUCAUGAAAAUCAGCUUCAAGAAGGGGAACAAACGGAGGGGGCGCGCUCGGCUCCAGAUCCUUGCCAUCAGCUCGAAUCAGGGAGCGUGGUCCCAAAUGAGGCUGACAGAUGGAUCUGAAUUCACUGAGGAACAGCAUCCAGAGGAAAUCUGAAAGUUUCUUGUGCUGUACCUGGUCCUCGUCCUGCCGACGGUUUUGCUGUGCCCAGCUCCUCUUUCUCAGCAUUUCCUCCCUGCUGUGAGUAGUGAGACAGGAUGUUCAGAAUAAAGCAGAAAUAUUUGAUGCACAGAGCCUGUGGCAGUAUCAAGUUAACACUGGCGUGCUCCUGCAUUUUACCUCAUGUUUACUAAUCACUCCGAAAAGAAAGGUCACAUCUUUCAUCACAAAAUGGAAACUUUUUGACAGCAAACAAUUGGAUUUUCAGCACUCCAUUUGAAGUGGAUUUCAGUGUGGAGAGUGAGAGCCCAAGGCAGUGGGAUGAGACCUACAGGCCAUUGCAGAGAAGAGUAAUCAUAAGAUUACUGACUUGGGGGUCAGCGAGUACUGACUCCCAAAGGAUCUUCUGAGCUUCCACCCAGCCUGGAUUAUCAAAACAAGGAUUAUUCUCUCCCUAGAAUUCAUUGAGGAGAAGUUCCCCAGCCCUGAAGAGAAACAAUUCCAUUCUCCUCCCACAGUGUGUUUACUCUGCACCAUCUCUGUGUGUGCCCAGCCCCAUGCCCAGGCAAUCUCUACUGCAGCCCUGACGUCCAGUGGGUUUUUUGGCAGGAUCCCCCAGGUAAUUUGUAUCUCCUGGCUGGAAAUGCUCUAUUUGGGGCACCAAGCAGUGAGAGAAGGGAAACUCAUCUCACACCCAGCUCCCAGCCUCCCUCAGCCUGCUGCAGGCACAGGACCACCUGGGCCAUGCUAAGGACACAGAACUUGCAUGCUGCUGGGACCCUGGAUGCCACUCAAACCAAGCAGCAAAGAUGAUUUUGCAACACUUUUUGUGAUGUAUUCUCCUUCUCUCUACAUUCUUCAAAGCACAAAUUUACCCAGACAAAUAUUUACAGAAACUGAAGGAAAAAAUAGACUGGUGCUAUAGACACUGCAGCAGUGAACUUCUAAUUACAAUCCACAAAGUAUUUAUGAAUAAAUUUAUCCAUUAUUUGUCUAGUUCGAGCACUGCGUUCACUUUGCCUUGUACCAUUACAUGCUGAAGGAAACAAUAUGCAGCAUGAAAAUGAAAACAAUUUGACUUAAUUAUUUACACCAUUACCGCCACUUUGAAUUAGGCCUUCCAUUUCUUCGGGAUUUUGUAAAAUUUAACCGGCAAUUACGCUUGCUUAAUUAAUUUUAUUUAUCUACUACUACAAUGAGAUCAAAACAAAAAAACCUACCGGAAUGCAAAGUACAGGCUGAGUCCCCUAAUUGUAAAUGUUGCUUUUAAGCCUUUAUGAUAAAAAUGUAGUAUUUUGUACCAUUUCAUUUCAAGCGUAUCUGGCCAUGCUCCAGUACUAUUUAAGCGUAAACAGGAAAAGCCUUGGAGGACGAGUAAUCACACUUAAAUGACACAAAGAUCAUUAUAAUGAUGUUCCAAAAACAUGGCAAAAUUAGAUAUUGCAGAACUGUUUUCUUCUCUGAAGUGUUCCACCAGAUGGUGAAGAGUGCUGAAACGGUAGAUCCGAGAGAGGGGAGGAAAAACAUCCCCACGCUUCCCUCGCUUGUCUCAAGUGGCACCUCACACCUUGGCUCCAUCAAACCUCCAAGCUCAAGAUGACACCGAGGUGUUUGAGUGCUGAAUCACAGCCUGGGAAAGCCCUGCUUUGUUCCAUUAAAGUUGUCAACCGCAUUUUUUUGGAUCCGAGGACGAACGAGCGCGUCAGCAGAAGUGAUGGUGGUAAUUUGUGAAACUCUUAAUGAGAUAUUUUCAGAGCUCAUAAAGAGGAAGAGCCGUGUCUUUGAAUUGCUGCACAAUGAGUGCAUUUUGAUACAGGAAAAGAGUUGGGCUGUUAUCAGAAAUGGCACUGCAUCAGUGGGGAUGUGUCAGGGAGCAUUUAAAGGGGGCUAACAAGGGUUAUAUAAAUGGGGUUUUUAUCAAUGGGGAGAUGUCUGUGUGUGUUGUUGCUCUGUGAAAUGGCCACAAGUGAGGUGAGUCUGCAUCUUUAUCACUAUUUGUCUUCCUUUCCAAAAGACUUGACAAAGUUACCCUCCAUGGGACCUGCUACAUCUUCACAUGUCAUUAGAUUCUUGGUUUUUUUGUUAUUAGAAAUAUCUGAGAAAUAUCUAGAAAAUUGGAAUUACUCAUUAAAGGAACAUCUCAUUUUGUUACUUAAAUAUUGGUCAGGGGAUUCUACUUUUAGGAAUAUCAGUGAACCUCAAGUACCUGCUGUCCAUCCAUCCAUCCAUCCAUCCAUCCAUCCAUCCAUCCAUCCAUCCAUCCAUCCAUCCCCUCCUGAAUUUCUGAUCUCUUUUAAUACAUAUUGUGGGGAAUCCAUAAAUGAACAAGGGGAGGUAUUGGGGUGCUGUGGUUUCUGCUGACCCAUUCCCAGUCCUAGCUCCCUAUGGAAAUCCUGACACGUCCUGGAAGACAGCGAAGUCACAGUGGGGACAAGGGCUGUUCUCUGGAGGUUUGGGCUGGGGUGCAUUGUAAAUGUAAAUGUAUUUCCAAGCCUUCCACCUUCCUGAAAUAUUCAGUAUCUUAACAUUUCCUCAGGAACACACAUGACAAAUCCAGAUCCACAGGAAAACUCGUCCUUUUUCACUGAAAGAUCCUGAAAUGGAAGGUGACUUCAUUCCCAACUGGCAGUCAUUCUAAUUCCAUGCUGAGCAAGGGAACAGCCUCGUAUUCACUGUGUUACAAAUAUUUUUGAACUGAAUGUUCACAGGGUCCGAAGAAUGGCCCAAAUGCUGCAUUUGCUGCACUUCCAUUAUUCAGAGUUAGCAAUAAAAAUCAUGCAAAAUUCUCCCCCUUUCCAUCUACGCCCAUUCAGUGGACAUUUGGAAAUGGGGCUUGCAAAUGGGAGAGGGUGAACACAAUAUCAGCAAUCCUGUUUAUCCGUUUGCAUCCAGCUCAUCUGCUUAAGUGAGAAGCCUGUGCAUGGCUGGUUUUCAAUGGCCUGUGUUAAAUGAAGGGCUGAGUUCACCCCCCUGCCUCGAGGACACAGGACCAUUUGCUGAGCAGCCACUGUAGGUGACAUUAAAUGUCAUCCCAACCGUCCCUCUCAGGUGGCAUCGGAUGGAAAGUAUCCCAUAAUCUUAAAAAUUAACUUGCACUGAUCCCAUGUUGUUCCCAAGCUUUUUAACUUGGGAGAACGGGCUCUCAGGGACACUGUGCCUCAGUUUUCCCUCUGCAAAAUAGCAAAACAAGGAAUAGGGGAAAGCAUUAUUGUAUUUUCACUUGACAUGGAUUAUUCUCUUUCUAGAAGGGCUCUUCUAGCAAUGCCAAAUCUUUCCAAAAACUUGACUUACCAAAAAAACCCACUUUACAAUAAUUAGUAAUCUCUCUAUCUUGAGGAAGGCAAAGGUUUUAUUCUGCUGUCUGAGCUUAAUUAUGUUUUCAGAGCCAUGUCAUGGAGGCUCAGAUGAAAUUCUUGCUUUGUGUGCAAGAAAGUCACACCACAUUUGCAUUUGUUUGACAGAAGCCCUGAUCUCAUCCAAUAUGGAGUGCACGAAUCUGGCAAUGCUCCCGUUGGACAUCUAUUUUGUAUUCUGCCUAAAUUCCAGGCAAAAUAUCAUUCCUUGCACUUAAAUGCUGAUACCUUUGAGGGAGGGAAUAAAGCCUGGUCCGUCCAAAUGAAAUCCCCUGUGGGGAUGUGCAUCAGAGCUCUGUCUCCACCAGCCAGCAGAGGCUGCUCUGAUGUUAAUGAUUCAUUAUUAAAUCAUUUAUUAUUUUCAGUAAUAAAGCACAUGGAGGAAAUCAAACCGAAAUAUUGAAAUGAUGAAAUGAUCUACGAGCCCAAAUGCCAUGGACUGUGCUAUGUGGGAGCAGGCUGGGAAGCAGCAGCCCCUAACCCAUGUUUUCUGAACAACCUGCUGCCCACUGGAUUUUCCAGCUCUGGGUUGUGGCCAGGUGGGCUCCAGGAAAAGCACAUCCUGCUUCUGAUGAGAUGGUAAGAACUGGGAUUACUCUUCUAGCAUAUAAAUUCUGUCACUCUGGCCCUUAAAACCCAGCGAGGAGAGCUGUGGAUUUUAACAGGAUACUUGAAAUAAACCAAUUGUCUGCCCUUA